rnacentral:rRNA from 1 species
UACGGGGGGGGGCAAGCGUUGUUCGGAAUUACUGGGCGUAAAGGGCUCGUAGGCGGCCAACUAAGUCAGACGUGAAAUCCCUCGGCUUAACCGGGGAACUGCGUCUGAUACUGGAUGGCUAGAGGUUGGGAGAGGGAUGCGGAAUUCCAGGUGUAGCGGUGAAAUGCGUAGAUAUCUGGAGGAACACCGGUGGCGAAGGCGGCAUCCUGGACCGGCAUUGACGCUGAGGAGCGAAAGCCAGGGGAGCAAAGCGGG